UACGUAGGGUGCGAGCGUUGCCCGGAUUUAUUGGGCGUAAAGGGCGCGCAGGCGGCCACGCGCGUCCGUUGUGAAAUCGCUCGGCUCAACUGGGCGAGGUCAGCGGAUACGGCGUGGCUGGAGCAAGCUAGGGGGCAAUGGAAUUCCCGGUGUAGUGGUGGAAUGCGUAGAUAUCGGGAGGAACACCAGUGGCGAAGGCGGUUGCCUGGAGCUUUGCUGACGCUGAGGCGCGAAAGCGUGGGGAGCGAACAGG
rnacentral:rRNA from 1 species